rnacentral:rRNA from 1 species
AUUUAAAAUCUGGCGGUUUCACCGUCCGAGUUGUAAUCUGGAGAAGCGUUUUCCGCGUCGGACCGUGUACAAGUCUCUUGGAAUAGAGCGUCAUAGAGGGUGAGAAUCCCGUCCAUGACACGGACUCCCGAUGCUUUGUGAUACGCUCUCAAAGAGUCGAGUUGUUUGGGAAUGCAGCUCAAAAUGGGUGGUAAAUUCCAUCUAAAGCUAAAUAUUGGCGAGAGACCGAUAGCGAACAAGUACCGUGAGGGAAAGAUGAAAAGCACUUUGGAAAGAGAGUUAAACAGUACGUGAAAUUGUUGAAAGGGAAACGCUUGAAGUCAGUCGCGUUGUACGGAGCUCAGCCUUGCUUCUGCUUGGUGUAUUCUCUGUGUCAACGGGUCAACAUCAAUUUUGACCGGUGGAAAAGGGCUUGGGGAAUGUGGCGUUGUUUCGGCGACGUGUUAUAGCCCCAGGUCGUAUGCAUCGAUUGGGAUUGAGGACCGCAGCACGCCCUUGUGGCCGGGGAUUCGUCCCACGUUCGUGCUUAGGAUGUUGGCAAA